AUUGAACGCUGGCGGCAUGCUUUACACAUGCAAGUCGAACGGGCUUGGGGGCUUGCUCCCAAGUUAGUGGCGAACGGGUGAGUAAUACAUCGGAACGUACCGUGUAGUGGGGGAUAACGUAGCGAAAGUUACGCUAAUACCGCAUACAAUCUACGGAUGAAAGCAGGGGACCUUCGGGCCUUGUGCUAUACGAGCGGCCGAUGUCUGAUUAGCUAGUUGGUGAGGUAAAGGCUCACCAAGGCGACGAUCAGUAGCGGGUCUGAGAGGAUGAUCCGCCACACUGGGACUGAGACACGGCCCAGACUCCUACGGGAGGCAGCAGUGGGGAAUUUUGGACAAUGGGCGAAAGCCUGAUCCAGCCAUGCCGCGUGUCUGAAGAAGGCCUUCGGUUGUAAGGAC
rnacentral:rRNA from 1 species